rnacentral:rRNA from 1 species
AGUGAACGCUGGCGGCGUGCUUAACACAUGCAAGUCGAGCGAAUCUUUGCAGCACAUCGCAGAGGUUAGCGGCGGACGGGUGAGUAACACGUGGGUAACCUGCCCAUAAGACUGGGAUAACUCCGGGAAACCGGGGCUAAUACCGGAUAACAUUUUGAACCGCAUGGUUCGAAAUUGAAAGGCGGCUUCGGCUGUCACUUAUGGAUGGACCCGCGUCGCAUUAGCUAGUUGGUGAGGUAACGGCUCACCAAGGCAACGAUGCGUAGCCGACCUGAGGGGGUGAUCGGCCACACUGGGACUGAGACACGGCCCAGACUCCUACGGGAGGCAGCAGUAGGGAAUCUUCCGCGAUGGACGAAAGUCUGACGGAGCAACGCCGCGUGAGUGAUGAAGGCUUUCGGGUCGUAAAACUCUGUUGUUAGGGAAGAACAAGUGCUAGUUGAAUAAGCUGGCACCUUGACGGUACCUAACCAGAAAGCCACGGCUAACUACGUGCCAGCCGCCGCGGUAA